rnacentral:rRNA from 1 species
AGCGAACGCUGGCGGUAUGCCUAACACAUGCAAGUCGAACGGCAGCACAGUAAGAGCUUGCUCUUACGGGCGGCGCGUGGCGGACGGGUGAGGAAUACAUCGGAAUCUACUUUUUCGGGGGGGCUAACGUCGGGAAACUUCCGCUAAUACCGCAUACGUCCUACGUGUGAAAGCAGGCGAUCUUCGGACCUUGUGCGAUUGAAUGAGCCGAUGUUGGAUUAGCUAGUUGGCGGGGUAAAGGCCCACCAAGGCGACGAUCCUUAGCUGGUAUGAGAGGAGAGUCAGCCAACUUGGAACUGAGAAAGGUCACAGACUCCUACGGUGGGAAGCGGUGGGGAAUAUUGGAGAAGGGGGGAAAGCCGGAUACAGCCCUACCGGGUGAGGGAAGAAGGCGUAAGGGUGGUAAAGCCCUGUUGUUGGGAAAGAAAAGCAGCAGGUUAAUACCCCGCGGUUCUGACGGUACCCAAAGAAUAAGCACCGGCUAACUUCGUG